AGAGUUUGAUCCUGGCUCAGGACGAACGCUAGCGGCGCGCCUUACGCAUGCAAGUCGAGCGGUCCAGCCGACUUCGGUCGGCUAAGGAUAGCGGCGGACGGCUGAGUAACACGUAGGUAACCUGUCCGGAAGUGGGGAAUAACUUGCCGAAAGGCGAGCUAAUACCGCAUGUGCUCUCGGAGUGAAAGUCUUCGAGAGGAAAGCAGCAAUGCGCUUUCGGAGGGGCCUGCGCCCUAUCAGGUAGUUGGUGGGGUAACGGCCUACCAAGCCGAUGACGGGUAGCUGGUCUGAGAGGAUGAUCAGCCAGACGGGGACUGAGACACGGCCCUGACUCCUACGGGAGGCAGCAGCGAGGAAUCUUGGGCAAUGGGCGAAAGCCUGACCCAGCGACGCCGCGUGGAGGAUGAAGGCCCUCGGGUCGUAAACUCCUUUUUUCGGGGAAGAAGAUCUGACGGUACCCGACGAAUAANCCACGGCUAACUACNUGCCAGCAGCCGCGGUAAUACGUAGGUGGCAAGCGUUGUCCGGAUUUACUGGGCGUAAAGCGCGUGUAGGCGGUCCGUUAAGUCCGUAGUGAAAUCUCCCGGCUCANCUGGNAGGGGUCUGCGGAUACUGGCGGGCUUGANGGGGGCAGAGGAAGGNNGAAUUCCCGGGUGUA
rnacentral:rRNA from 1 species